UUAAUGAACUGAACUGUGCCCUCUCCCACUUCUUCCUCCCCAUCCCUUCGUCCUGGUGCUUUAGGGUGUGAUUGUAUUUGGAGACAGGGUCUUUAAAGAGGUAAGUGAGUUAAAAUGAGGUAAUAUUGGAGACCCUUAAUCCGUACUGUGAUGUCUUUAUUUGGAGAGAUCAGGACACAGAUUUACACUAAGGGAAGACCUAUGGGGCCACGAGGAGAAGAUGGCUUUCUGUAAGUCGGGUGAAGAGAAGCCCCACAGAGACCAAUUCUGCUAACAGUUUGAUUUUGAACUCCCAUCCUCCAGCGCUGCGGAGAGGAUGGAUUUCUGUUGUUGCAGCCACCUGUAGCACACCGUGGUGUGUUAAUUGUAUGAAUUAAUAAUACAGAUGCAUUAGCACACCCAAUUCUUGCAUGAACUACAGGGUAAAUAGUAUAAUUUCCUUAUUUUACAGAUGAGAAAACAGGCUCAAAGUGGGGAAGUGACUUGCCCAGGAUUGCACAGUUCAGGUCUGUAUAGAGUGCAAAGCUAGAGCAACAGGCAGUCUAAUGGGAAGAUGGGGGGAUUUCCUAGAAAUGAUCUAGACACUGUGACAUCUGUCCACAUUGUUAGUCAUAAAAGUCGUAAGGACUAAGGAUUCUACAUAGUUGGAGUAACCAUCUUCAUUAAGGAGAGAGGGGUUUCCAACAUUUAGGUCUUAGGGCCCUUUUAUGCCCUUUUAAAAGUUAAUGAGGACAAAACAAAUGAGAAGAAGCAAAGCGUUUUCAUUUAUAUCCAUUUAUCUACUGAAGCUACCAUAUAAGAAAUGAAAACAGAGGCAUUCAAAAAAGCAUCCCGUUCAUUAUCAAAAUAACAGAGUCAUCUUUCUAACUACCCUCCAGUGUGGGGAUUAUUAAUAUCAACUUCCC
rnacentral:lncRNA from 1 species